rnacentral:rRNA from 1 species
UGAGGAAUAUUGGUCAAUGGGCGCGAGCCUGAACCAGCCAAGUAGCGUGAGGGAUGACUGCCCUAUGGGUUGUAAACCUCUUUUGAUUGGGAACAAAGAGCGCCACGUGUGGUGCGUUGCGUGUACCUUUCGAAUAAGCAUCGGCUAAUUCCGUGCCAGCAGCCGCGGUAAUACGGAAGAUGCGAGCGUUAUCCGGAUUUAUUGGGUUUAAAGGGAGCGUAGGCCGGAGAUUAAGCGUGUUGUGAAAUGUAGACGCUCAACGUCUGCACUGCAGCGCGAACUGGUUUCCUUGAGUACGCACAAAGUGGGCGGAAUUCGUGGUGUAGCGGUGAAAUGCUUAGAUAUCACGAAGAACUCCGAUUGCGAAGGCAGCUCACUGGAGCGCAACUGACGCUGAAGC